rnacentral:misc_RNA from 1 species
CUAUUCCUGCCGCGGAUCACGCACACGCACGCACACGCACGCACAUCGUGCGCAUUGUUGUCUCGCCCGUUAGGCACCAAGUACCAAAAAAAAGCUGAAAAGCAUACACAAACAAGCGCACAAAGGACCCGACUCAAAUCGGUGCGUACUCCUCCCUCCUUGUUCCCCUCCUCCCCAAGGCCUCGCACACCGGCAUGCAUGUAAGCAGCAGGCGGCAGUGCGAUCGCAGAAUGGAG